GACUACAGGGGUAUCUAAUCCUGUUUGCUCCCCACGCUUUCGCGCCUCAGCGUCAGUGACAGUCCAGAAGGCCGCCUUCGCCUCUGUUGUUCCUCCAGAUAUCUACGAAUUUCACCUCUACACCUGGAAUUCCGCCUUCCUCUCCUGUACUCCAGCCUGGCAGUAUUCAAUGCACUUCCCGGAUUGAGCCCGGGGCUUUCACAUCAAACUUACCAAGCCGCCUACGCGCGCUUUACGCCCAAUAAUUCCGAGUAACGCUUGCACCCUCCGUAUUACCGCGGCUGCUGGCACGGAGUUAGCCGGUGCUGUUUCUGUUGAUACCGUCAUUUUUUUCUUCUCAACUAAAAGAGCUUUACAACCCGAAGGCCUUCAUCACUCACGCGGCGUUGCUGCGUCAGGGUUUCCCCCAUUGCGCAAAAUUCCUCACUGCAGCCCCCCGUAGG
rnacentral:rRNA from 1 species